GUCGANCGGUAACAGAAGUAGCUUGCUACUUUGCUGACGAGCGGNNNNNNNNNGAGUAAUGCUUGGGAACAUGCCUUGAGGUGGGGGACAACAGUUGGAAACGACUGCUAAUACCGCAUAAUGUCUACGGACCAAAGGGGGCUUCGGCUCUCGCCUUUAGAUUGGCCCAAGUGGGAUUAGCUAGUUGGUGAGGUAAUGGCUCACCAAGGCAACGAUCCCUAGCUGGUUUGAGAGGAUGAUCAGCCACACUGGAACUGAGACACGGUCCAGACUCCUACGGGAGGCAGCAGUGGGGAAUAUUGCACAAUGGGCGAAAGCCUGAUGCAGCCAUGCCGCGUGUGUGAAGAAGGCCUUCGGGUUGUAAAGCACUUUCAGUCAGGAGGAAAGGGUGUGAGUUAAUACCUCAUAUCUGUGACGUUACUGACAGAAGAAGCACCGGCUAACUCCGUGCCAGCAGCCGCGGUAAUACGGAGGGUGCGAGCGUUAAUCGGAAUUACUGGGCGUAAAGCGUACGCAGGCGGUUUGUUAAGCGAGAUGUGAAAGCCCCGGGCUCAACCUGGGAACUGCAUUUCGAACUGGCAAACUAGAGUGUGAUAGAGGGUGGUAGAAUUUCAGGUGUAGCGGUGAAAUGCGUAGAGAUCUGAAGGANUACCGAUGGCGAAGGCAGCCACCUGGGGUCAACACUGACGCUCAUGUACGAAAGCGUGGGGAGCAAACGGGNNUANAUACCCCGGUAGUCCACGCCGUAAACGAUGUCUACUANAAGCUCGGAANCUC
rnacentral:rRNA from 1 species